AUGGCAGCACUCCUCAGGUCAAAGUGUUCGUCAGUUGGGCGUGCUAUGAUGGGAAGCCUUGGAAACAAUCUGUACGGGGGCGCUACCUCAUCUAUUGAAACGGUGGCAAGACCAUCCCGUUCUGAUGCCCUCUGCCAGCAAAUCAGAACAUUCAUCCAGAUGAGAACAAACCUCAAGGUGGUCGACAACUCCGGAGCCAAGCGGGUUAUGUGCAUACAGUCCCUUAGGGGGAAGAAAGGAGCGAGGCUCGGGGACAUGAUCAUCGGCUCUGUCAAGGAAGCGCAGCCUCGUGGUAAGGUCAAGAAAGGAGACGUGGUCUAUGGGGUGGUUGUCCGUGCUGCCAUGAAGAAGGGACGCAGCGAUGGCAGCGAGGUCCAGUUCGAUGACAAUGCAAUCGUCAUUGUGAACAACAAGGGCGAGCUGAUUGGCACCCGCGUCUUUGGUCCUGUCCCCCAUGAGCUCAGGAAGAAGAAGCAUCUCAAGAUCCUGGCACUGGCCGAGCACAUAGUUUGA
rnacentral:rRNA from 1 species